rnacentral:rRNA from 1 species
AUUGAACGCUGGCGGCAGGCCUAACACAUGCAAGUCGAGCGGAUGAAGGGAGCUUGCUCCUGGAUUCAGCGGCGGACGGGUGAGUAAUGCCUAGGAAUCUGCCUGGUAGUGGGGGAUAACGUCCGGAAGCGGGCGCUAAUACCGCAUACGUCCUGAGGGAGAAAGUGGGGGAUCUUCGGACCUCACGCUGUCAGAUGAGCCUAGGUCGGAUUAGCUAGUUGGUGGGGUAAAGGCCUACCAAGGCGACGAUCCGUAACUGGUCUGAGAGGAUGAUCAGUCACACUGGAACUGAGACACGGUCCAGACUCCUACGGGAGGCAGCAGUGGGGAAUAUUGGACAAUGGGCGAAAGCCUGAUCCAGCCAUGCCGCGUGUGUGAAGAAGGUCUUCUGAUUGUAAAGCACUUUAAGUUGGGAGGAAGGGCAGUAAGUUAAUACCUUGCUGUUUUGACGUUACCAACAGAAUAAGCACCGGCUAACUUCGUG